GGAUGUGAUGGAGAUCAGACUGUGUCACCUGUCACCCCAUUGAUCUCCAGGAUUGAUUUGGCAGAUCUGGCUGGCUAGGCAGGUGUCCCCUCCUCACCAUUCCAUGUGUGUCCCUCCUGAAGUUGUAUACUAGGUCAAAGAGGAUGACCUUCCUUGAGUAAAGACAGACCAGUCUUCAGUUGAGGGUAUAUGAGUAGCUGCACUUCCCUGCCAGAACCUCCAAACAAGCUCUCAAGGUCCAUUUGUAGGAUAACAUAAGGUAGUCAAGUUUCCAAGACUCCAGACAUAUCUAAAUGAGGUGUUUCAUGUGGUAGUCUGCCCUUCUUU
ensembl:misc_RNA 7SK 7SK RNA